rnacentral:rRNA from 1 species
AUUGAACGCUGGCGGCAGGCCUAACACAUGCAAGUCGAGCGGAUGAAGGGAGCUUGCUCCUGGAUUCAGCGGCGGACGGGUGAGUAAUGCCUAGGAAUCUGCCUGUUAGUGGGGGCUAACGUCCGGAAACGGGGGCUAUUACGGCAUACGUCCUGAGGAGGAAAGUGGGGGAUCUUCGGACCUCACGCUAUCAGAUGAGCCUAGGUCGGAUUAGCUAGUUGGUGGGGUAAAGGCCUACCAAGGCGACGAUCCGUAACUGGUCUGAGAGGAUGAUCAGUCACACUGGAACUGAGACACGGUCCAGACUCCUACGGGAGGCAGCAGUGGGGAAUAUUGGACAAUGGGCGAAAGCCUGAUCCAGCCAUGCCGCGUGUGUGAAGAAGGUCUUCGGAUUGUAAAGCACUUUAAGUUGGGAGGAAGGGCAGUAAGUUAAUACCCUGCUGUUUUGACGUUACCAACAGAAUAAGCACCGGCUAACUUCGUG